rnacentral:misc_RNA from 1 species
GCACUUUCUUAUUUAUCAACUCCCCAAAUAAAUGGAAUGCCAACUCAAUUAAGCCUUAAUCCCAAGCUACUUGGAAUCUUUUUUGCUUAGUCCACUCAGCAUAGGGCUACAUCUUCACAAAUAUAUAGAGCUGCUAUCCUUUUUCAAUACUUCACCCCACAUCAUUAUACAAUUCACUCAAAGGGUGUCACUUGCACAAGAAAACAAGCAAAUGAGGACUACAUAAAACCUUUUCCACUACUAGUUGCAGUAUAAUGUCAGCCUUUGUUAAAACCCCAUUAACUUGUUUUUCAACCUUUAUUAUAGUACAAGCUCAACAUCAUCAAGAACCACAUCAGAAUCAAACUAACAACGAGUUCUACACUAAUAACAUGCAGAAAAUGAGCAGAGGCUUGAUAAGAUAAUGCCUAACUUACUUUGCAUCUAACUUUAGCUCACUCAAAUAUAAAAUGGCACAUGCUAUAGGACAAUGCAAUCACUUGUAAUGUGAGGUAAUAUAUCUAAAGAAGUAAAACACUAUAAAUGACAGUUGCUUGAGAAGUUAGAAUCAUUGAAUCAAGAUGCCUUUAGAAUGAUAAUUGAAUAAGAACCAAAGGUAGAUGGCUUUUUCAUCCCUUUUAUAAUAAAUCUUUUGAUACAAAGUCAAUUUGAAAGUAAUAUUUUGGACUGCUUAGCCACUCCAGGGAGAUAUAAUUUAAUGCACACAAACACAAUUCUCUAUUAAGUAUUCCUAGGUGUAGCACAUAUUUCCAUUCUAUGAAUUCAGUUAUAGCAUACACGCCCAAAUGUUGGACGAAGAAAUAAAAAUUCACAUGGCAAUCAAAAUGUUAUAUAUAUGUUACAUAUAAAAGGAGAAAGAA